AAACCAACAGGGAUUGCUCUAGUAACGGCGAGUGAAGCAGCAAUAGCUCAAAUUUGAAAUCUGGCGUCUUCGACGUCCGAGUUGUAAUUUGUAGAGGAUGCUUCUGAGUGGCCACCGACCUAAGUUCCUUGGAACAGGACGUCAUAGAGGGUGAGAAUCCCGUAUGCGGUCGGAAAGGCGCUCUAUACGUAGCUCCUUCGACGAGUCGAGUUGUUUGGGAAUGCAGCUCUAAAUGGGAGGUAAAUUUCUUCUAAAGCUAAAUAUUGGCCAGAGACCGAUAGCGCACAAGUAGAGUGAUCGAAAGAUGAAAAGCACUUUGGAAAGAGAGUUAAAAAGCACGUGAAAUUGUUAAAAGGGAAGGGAUUGCAACCAGACUUGCUCGCGGUGUUCCGCCGGUCUUCUGACCGGUCUACUCGCCGCGUUGCAGGCCAGCAUCGUCUGGUGCCGCUGGAUAAGACUUGAGGAAUGUAGCUCCCUCGGGAGUGUUAUAGCCUCUUGUGAUGCAGCGAGCGCCGGGCGAGGUCCGCGCUUCGGCUAGGAUGCUGGCGUAAUGGUCGUAAUCCGC
rnacentral:rRNA from 1 species